rnacentral:snRNA from 2 species
GUGCUCGCUUCGGCAGCACAUAUACUAAAAUUGGAACGAUACAGAGGUUAGCAUGGCCCCUGCACAAGGAUGACACGCAAAUUAGUGAGGUGUUCCAUAUUUUU